GUCUACGGCCAUACCACCCUGAACGCGCCCGAUUCGUCUGAUCUCGGGAAGCUAAGCCAGGGUCGGCGCCGGUUAGUACUUGGAUGGGAGACCGCUGGGAAUACCGGGUGCUGUAGGCU
rnacentral:rRNA from 1 species